rnacentral:lncRNA from 1 species
UUUAAACUGUAAUUCAGGGAUAGGAUAUGGCUGAGUGGCAGAGUGCUUGGCUACUACAGAGGCCCUGAGUUUUAUUUCCAGCACUGGGGGAGAAAAAAGCAAUGAAAAAAAAAAUCAACCAAUGAAGCAAACAACAACAACCAAAAAAACUCCUUUGAUUCUUAAGUUUAACGUUUCUACUAGUUCAGCCACUAUUUCCCCCAAAGGUCAAUACUUUGGAUUCUGCCUGGAUUCUUGAAAGUUCAGACCUGAGCCACAUGUGGUUUCAGAACCAUACUAAUCCCUACAAAUCCUUAAGGUCUUUUCUUGAGCCAUGACUGGUGAGCACAAUAGUAGCAACAACUAUCUAACAUACAUAUUAGAUGCUCGCCAUCUCAGCAUGCUGUUAGGUCUGUGCUAAGAACUUUACAUGGAUUAUGUGGCGGUUCAUUUUAGAUGCCAGCUUGACUCUGUUAAGGGAUCCCUGGACAGCUGGUAAAGCAUUAUUUCUGGGUGUGUCCGGGAGGCUAUUUCCAGAGGAGAUUGGCAAAUGAGUCAGUGGACUGGGUUGGGAAGAUCUGCCUUCAGUGUGGGUGGUCACCAUCUGAUUGUCUGGGUGCGCAGGUGGAAAAAAAAGUAGAGCAGGCAAAUUUGUGCUCUCUCUCCUGGAGCUGAGACACCCUUCUUUUACCCUUAGACAUCAGAACUCCAUGUUUUCUGGCCCAUAGAUUCUAACACUUUCACCAGCAGUCCCAGUUCUCAGAACUUUGACCUCUGACAGGAAAUUAUACUAUUGACUUCCUUGGUUCUGAGGCCUUUGAACUUGGACUGUGCCUUGGUCUUAGUUUUCCUGAUAGUCCAGCUUGCAGAUGGCUAUCUCAGCCGCUGUCAUCAUGUGGGGCAGUUCUCCACAUAACUCUUCUCCUAUGGGUCUAUCUGCCUAUUUAUAGAUGGGUAGGUAGAUACCUACCUACCUAGAGACUUGCAUAUACUAGUUAAGUUCUCUACCACUGAACUACACCCCCAGCCCUAGUUCUGUUUCUCUGGAGAACCUAAUACAGAUUAUAUCAUUUCAUUUAAGAGCAGAUUGCACCUUAUGAAAAGGAAAUAUUUACUGAAGACAUGGGAUAAUUCAACACUUAGAUGAUUUAACACCAUAAUUUCCAGAAAAAUAGCUGUAAGAGAUAGAAAGCAGAACCUUUAACCACUGUGGAAUAUUUUAGUCUCCAUGCUAUUUUUUUAUUUACUAAACAUUAAACAGAGUAGAUGUUCCCAAAUUAAUUGCUUGGCAUAUCAUGAUAACUAUUUGGGCUUUUCCAUAGUGUUUUGUCAUAUCUAAACUCUAUUACAAAGUUAUUGAUUUUGGAGAGUGUUUUUGGCACCAACACCAUCGCGUAAUGAACUUUGAGAUAACAUCAUUCCAGGAUACAGAUAAUAUUUUAAGUGAUAAUGCUGAAUGUUAAUAUCACAGCACAUUAGUCAUUAAUGUCACUAUCAGAAGUUAUGAUGCACAUAAACAACAACUCGAUUCACAUAAGAUAAGCACUGAUGGCAGUUAUUUACUGUUGGCAGCUCAAGUGGCACUGUCAUUAGCAAUAAUUAGAAAUACAAUUUAUGAGCCCCUGAGCCAGCCAAGUUUGAAAUUAUGUAAAUUUUGGUGAUUUCUUUUUUCUUAUUUUAGGUAGAUUUGUAAUCUUUCAAAUUUGUAUAAUUAAAAUUUACAUAAUAUACAAUAGCAAAACACCAUUUUUAAUCCCUUUUUAUAAAUGAAAAUAUGAAGCCUAGGGAGCAGUUAAUCUAAUCUGCUUAUUUAAGGUCUCAUAGUUAAUAAUUGGAGUUAGGAGUAUACCCCAGCGUCUGGCUCCAGAACCGCGCUCAGUACUCAAGAAUUCAUUUCUCACAAGGUAAUUUUAUCUCAGAGAACAUAUUGAUAUCCCUUGUCCUAAGCCUUGGUUGAAAUUACAUUCAUCUCUUCCACCAAAUUUGCCAUAAUUUUGAACCUUAGGAAGACAUGUUGGGAAAAUAUGAAUUCUCCUUAUCCCAGAAAAACCUGAUGUAAACUGAGACACCUCCUCCCUCCAGGGACCUCAAGUGACAGCUUCCAUAGAAGCACAUAGACCUCUAUUCUUCCCUCUCAGAACAGGGGCGCCCACCAUCUGCAUGCCUCAGAGGGACUAGUCAAGUGAAUUCUGAAACUGAGAGUUGGCUUCAGGUGGCACAGAUCAAAGUCUAGCAUUUCAGUCACCCUCUCAUUUCAUACUCUAUCCAGCCUUUGUCUUGACUAGCAAUUUAACACAUGUAUCCUUGUACAUAUAUAAGCACAGGAAACAUACAUACAUAUAUACACAUUCACAUGCACUGAUAGAAGAGACACAGAUAUAUGCACAUAUUCAUACUCACACCCUUGUACAAAAUUGCACAAGCUCUAUCCUCUGAAAAUCUGUGCCAGAAUGAGGGAGGAAGACUUUACUUCCUAACCCCAGCCCUACUCCCUGGGGAGAGCCUCCUGGGUGUGGGGGACCAGGGAACAGAUCCCAGGCUGAGAGUCACAGAACUUAUUAUCACUAAUUACAAGCCUUAAAAUAGGCUCAUCCAUCAUCCUGGAGUGACCACUGGUCCUUCAGCCCGCCUCCUGGACUCCUGAUCCCCUCCCCCAUUCCAGUCUAUUUAUCCUUGAAUGACCAUAGAUCUGCUCCACAGAGUGAAAAAAAAUAAAUAAAUUUAUACAAUACUCAGUCCUUUCCAAAAACAUAAAUAUGGGCAUGCCCCAGCUCAGAUAUUAGCCUUCUGCUCUUUUUUCUACACCCUGGAGAGUUCGUGUGGAUCUGUCCCCCUUCACCACCCCCCAACCCGUGCAAAACUCCCUUUCAAUUAUGCUUUCAUAUGUGCCCCAUUCUGGGUUUCAUUUUCAGUAUUUCAUAGAAGUUUUGCAAUAAUCCUGUGGCUUGGAAUUGUUUUGCCAUGUUUACAAAUGAAAAGAAGUUUCUAAGAAUCAUUUGCCCAGGGUCACCCAUCUGACUAGAGCAUUCAAACGAGGACCUGCCAGUGGCAUAUCCUUCUCACACUGCACUGGACCUUCUGUGCAAGGGACUUCCCAAAUCAGCUGUCAGGAUUGAAG